GACGAACGCUGGCGGCGUGCUUAACACAUGCAAGUCGAACGGGCCUGUCUUCUUUUUUGGGGGUGGGUUGAGUGGCGAACGGGUGAGUAUCACGUGAGUAACCUGCCCUUCGGUCCUGGAUAACCGCUUGAAAGGGGGGCUAAUACGGGGUGGUCCGGUUGGUCCGCAUGGGCUGGUCGGGAUAGAUUGACUGUUUUUGGUGUUUCGGUGGGGGAUGGGCUCGCGGCCUAUCAGCUUGUUGGUGGGGUGAUGGCCUACCAAGGCGGUGACGGGUAGCCGGCCUGGGGGGGUGGGCGGCCACACUGGGACUGAGGUACGGCCCAGACUCCUGCGGGGGGGAGCAGUGGGGGGUAUUGCACAAUGGGCGGAAGCCUGAUGCAGCGACGUCGCGUGAGGGAGGGAGGCCUUCGGGUUGUGAACCUCUGUUUCCGGUGGUGAAGGCCCUGUCCGUGUGGUGGGGUUGACGGUAGCCGGGGAUGAAGCGCCGGCUAACUACGUG
rnacentral:rRNA from 1 species